CUUUUCAUGUCUUGCUACUUUAAAAUUCCAAAAAGGUUCACUCUUCCUUUGCUGGUUACUUAACCAUGAUUUUUUUUUGCUUUGGUUCUGGUUGAGAUACUAAAGGUUGUUUAUAUAUGAAAAGAACAAACACUUAUAGUUUUGUAUGCCUCAACUGUUGCUUAGGAUCCAGUGUUGUAGUGCUUUUCCUAAUUACAAAUAACUCUAAUCAAUAAUAGUGGUUCUUUCCUUCUGAUUUGAACUGAGAGAGAACCACUAAUUCUUGAUCUUAAGGUGACCCCAUUUUUCUAUGCCUCAUGCUCAUGCUGCUCUAUGUUCCCUUUUAAAAAUUCUUGCUAGCAUUUUGGGUUGGUUUCUGCUCUAUGUUCCCUUUUAGCAUUUCUUUCCGUUGUUGCUGCACUCCCUUUUGGGCGUUCAUUUCAUGCCCAGGAUCUUGCAAAUUGUGCCUGUGCCGAGCUUGCUUUAGAGUACGUGUUGCGGAGAUGUCGAGGACCUCAAGGUCACCGAUGUUGUGGAGCUGGACGAGGUUUCUGGGCAGUUCAUUGACCGCCUGUUCUUCCUGGAGAAGGUGAGAAAUCAUCAUCGAUCCAUCAAGCUAGCUCUUCGUCAUGCAUGGAGAUUGAUUGCAGACAGUCCUUUUUCUGCUGGUUACAAAUUCCAGGUGAUUUACUCUGCCAGGCGGCAGCACUCGAAGCACACAGGAUCCUGAACCUCAACAACAACCCCUACUUUUCUGGGCCCUAAUGUUGCAACGGCCGUGACGGCGUCGAGGCUCGGGCGUGUGGCCGUCGACGUGGAGCAGUCAGAGGAGGAGCGACUACUACCCCAACGGCAGCCUCUUCUCCCUUGUCCACGUUCGGUUGGUGCCGUGGCGGAGGGUUGUCUUGUGGUUUGACCGGAGAGGGAGCACACCAAAGAAGCGAUCUCGUCCCCAUUGGUCAGGUACCCUUCGUCUUUCUCUCGUUCGACCUCUCCAAGAAAGUUAUAUAGGUAGAGUAAGCUAAUUGUGUUUUCCGGGUGUUGUAUAGGAUACUACGGUUAAAGAUUGUUCUCAUUUAUAUUGAUGUUGCUGAUUAUCAAAUCAAUGGCUGUUAUCUAGAGUGCUUCUCCUUCAAAUUUGACGUACUAUGUCUUCCAGCUUAUACUAUAUAUGAUUUCUUUCCAUGGUUUUAACUAAUUAUGGAUAUGUAUCUAAUUAUGUUAUUUUGGCACCAACAAAUUACUCACCUAGCAUUUAUUCUGCUACAUGGAAACAAUCGGUGUCUAUUUCUUUUUUAUCUGAACUCAGAUAUAAUUCUGCUAUAUGUAAACAAUCAUUGGUUCUUUCUUUUCUAUCUAAACUGAGAAAUAAGUCUAAUCAGUUGUUGUUUUAUUUACUGUUCAAGUAUCAUUCUUACCUAAAACUUGUGCCAAAACUGGUUUUUCUUUCAUAUGUGCCAUAGAUUAUUCAACCCCAUCUGCUUCUGUACAAUUUUGUUGACUUAUCUGGCAUUUUUUCAGCCGUGUGGAACCAGCACAUCUACAUGCGAAUCUCCAGGCUAUGGUACCAGUGGGGUGGCUUCGAUGAUGGCCCUAUCAAGAGUAUACAUGUGCUCUUCUAUAGGGAAAUCAUGCCAACAAGAUGGUGCCUAAUGAGGUCAUAGACAUGUUUGUGGACACUUUGCAUGAGAGAAAUUUAUACAAGUGUGCCAGGAUCCAUGUGAGGUUCCCUGUAACAAUUCUGAGGGCAGUGGAAGGCACGUAUACGUUAUGGUUCACUAGAUCAACAAUUGUCCAUCACCUUGAGGGUGUUCCAUUUGGUCAUGUCUGUUAACAUGCUUAGUUGCUUCUUCUUUAUUAUGUUAAUGCUCCAAUAACUUUCUCAUAGUAUAUCACUUUUGUUAUUAACCAUCGUAUUGAAUGGCUGCGCUUUUGAUUU